AUUGAACGCUGGCGGCAUGCCUUACACAUGCAAGUCGAACGGCAGCGCGGGAGCAAUCCUGGCGACGAGUGGCGAACGGGUGAGUAAUAUAUCGGAACGUGCCCAGUAGUGGGGGAUAGCCCGGCGAAAGCCGGAUUAAUACCGCAUACGACCUACGGGUGAAAGGGGGGGAUCGCAAGACCUCUCGCUAUUGGAGCGGCCGAUAUCAGAUUAGGUAGUUGGUGGGGUAAAGGCCUACCAAGCCUGCGAUCUGUAGUUGGUCUGAGAGGACGACCAGCCACACUGGGACUGAGACACGGCCCAGACUCCUACGGGAGGCAGCAGUGGGGAAUUUUGGACAAUGGGCGCAAGCCUGAUCCAGCAAUGCCGCGUGCAGGAAGAAGGCCUUCGGGUUGUAAACUGCUUUUGUCAGGGAAGAAACGACUCUUGCGAGAGGCAUUGACGGUACUGUAUGAAUAAGCACCGGCUAACUCCGUGCCAGCAGCCGCAGUAAAAC
rnacentral:rRNA from 1 species